rnacentral:rRNA from 1 species
AUGCAGUCGAGCGGAUGUGAUCGCGGAGCUUGCUCCCUGAUAUCAGCGGCGGACGGGUGAGUAACACGUGGGUAACCUGCCUGUAAGACUGGGAUAACUCCGGGAAACCGGGGCUAAUACCGGAUAACUCAUUUCCUCGCAUGAGGAAAUGUUGAAAGAUGGCUUCGGCUAUCACUUACAGAUGGACCCGCGGCGCAUUAGCUAGUUGGUGAGGUAACGGCUCACCAAGGCAACGAUGCGUAGCCGACCUGAGAGGGUGAUCGGCCACACUGGGACUGAAACACGGCCCAAACUCCUACGGGAGGCAGCAGUAGGGAAUCUUCCGCAAUGGACGAAAGUCUGACGGAGCAACGCCGCGUGAGUGAUGAAGGUUUUCGGAUCGUAAAGCUCUGUUGUUAGGGAAGAACAAGUGCCGUUCGAAUAGGGCGGCACCUUGACGGUACCUAACCAGAAAGCCACGGCUAACUACGUGCCAGCAGCCGCGGUAAUACGUAGGUGGCAAGCGUUGUCCGGAAUUAUUGGGCGUAAAGCGCGCGCAGGUGGUUCCUUAAGUCUGAUGUGAAAGCCCACGGCUCAACCGUGGAGGGUCAUUGGAAACUGGGGAACUUGAGUGCAGAAGAGGAAAGUGGAAUUCCAAGUGUAGCGGUGAA